CGGGGUGAGUAACGCGUGGGUAACCUGCCCUAUACACAUGGAUAACAUACUGAAAAGUUUACUAAUACAUGAUAAUAUAUAUUUACGGCAUCGUAGAUAUAUCAAAGUGUUAGCGGUAUAGGAUGGACCCGCGUUUGAUUAGCUAGUUGGUGAGAUAACUGCCCACCAAGGCGACGAUCAGUAGCCGACCUGAGAGGGUGAUCGGCCACAUUGGAACUGAGACACGGUCCAAACUCCUACGGGAGGCAGCAGCU
rnacentral:rRNA from 1 species